UGUCCGUGAGCCAGCAGUGCCCUGGGGGUCAAAAAGGCCAAUGGGAUCCUGGGGUGCAUCAGGAAGAGCACUGGCAGCAGGUGGAGGGAGGUGACCCUGCCCCUUUACUCAGUCCUGGGGAGGCCACAACCAGAGUGUCCAGUUCUGAGGUCCUCAGGGCAAGAGCGACAUGGAGCUCCUGGAGUGAGACAAAUGGAAGGUGAUAAAGAAGAUGAGUGGACAAGAGCAACUCUCUUAUGAGGAAAGGCUGAAGGAGCAGGGUCUGUUCAGCCUGGAGAAGAGAUGACAAAGGGAACCUCACAAAGUGUGUCAUUGUCUGCCAGGAGGGUGUCAAGAGGAUGGACCAGGCUCUGCUCCAUAGAGCCAUGCAACAGGACAAGGGGCAGGAACUGAUGAAAGAGAAGUCCCACCUGAACAUGAGCAGGAACUUCUUUACUGUGGGAUUACAAUGCACUGGAAUAGAUUGCCCAGAGGGGCUGUGGAGUUUCCCUCACUGGAGAUAUUCCAGAACUGUCUGGACAUAAUGCUGUGCUAUGUGCUCUGUGAUGACACUGGUUGAGCAGAGGGAGGGUUGAGCAGAGAUGUGGGUCCAGAUGAUGCCUUGUGGUCCCUACCAAACUUGCCCAUUCUGUGAAACCAAAGCCAGCUUCUGAAAGUCAAAAGUAAAAUUCACAGAUCUCUUGGAAAUUGAGAUGAAUCCAAGGGGCAACCACUUGAAAUUGAUGGACUGGAUCCACAGUGUGGCUUGGAUACUACCAUGUCAACUUAUACCAUGGAAUGGCUGCCACUUUGAGAAUUAACAGAUCACAGCUGUUGUUGGCAGGAGAAUGGAGGUCAAAUGCUUUCCUGGCCCACCCCUAUGGAAGGACUGUGAGGUCAGAAGUGAGAAAGAAGUGUCCUUGCAAGCUCUACCAGGACUUAACAGGUUACAGAGCUACUUUUCCUCUGGAUGGGAUGGCUCCUUCAAAAUUCAUACUCGGUAGAUGGAAUAAAACUUGGAGAGGAAGCAAGAGACAUUUAGAGAAUUGAAAAUCAGACUAGACACUGCCUUUGCACACUCAGCCAGCAAACUGGAACUGACUUAUCUGCUAGGAAAAUUCCAUUGCUGUCAUCAGCAAUCGUUAGAUAUCUCAAUUGCCCCAAACCACCACACAAUUGCACAUUCCUUCCUCCCUUUCACAUCCCAAGUAGCACUAGCAGGUGCAUUCCCACCCUGCUUUCCCCAUGUGAGAUAACAGUGAUUCCCAUAACAGCAAUCCUUCCCUUUCCACCAAAUCUCUCCAGGAUUCUCAGGUGUCCAUAAUAUACACCCUAAAUGGUGAUCUAAGCCUUUUCUACCCUCCUCCAUUAAGAAAUGAGCUGGAUCCAGCCUGUGGUUUGACAGAGACAAGACCAACAUGCGAGACAAACAGACAGAUCUUGCCAACUGCAGAGCAGUCUGCAUUGAGACGUGAGAUUCAUCCAAGGCACAACUUCAUUGCUUUCAUCUGGAUUAUGCAAAGAAUAGUUUUGGCCUGGGGGCCAAAUUGAUCCAUCUGGUUAUAAACUGAUAGCAGUAAUUAAAGCUGGUAAGAACCACUGAAAUUG